GACGAACGCUGGCGGCGUGCUUAACACAUGCAAGUCGAACGGAAAGGCCCUGCUUGCAGGGUACUCGAGUGGCGAACGGGUGAGUAACACGUGGGUGAUCUGCCCUGCACUUCGGGAUAAGCCUGGGAAACUGGGUCUAAUACCGGAUAGGAGCCAUUUUUAGUGUGAUGGUUGGAAAGUUUUUUCGGUGUAGGAUGAGCUCGCGGCCUAUCAGCUUGUUGGUGGGGUAAUGGCCUACCAAGGCGGCGACGGGUAGCCGGCCUGAGAGGGGGGACGGCCACAUUGGGACUGAGAGACGGCCCAGACGCCUACGGGAGGCAGCAGUGGGGAAUAUUGCACAAUGGGCGCAAGCCUGAUGCAGCGACGCCGCGUGGGGGAUGACGGCCUUCGGGUUGUAAACUCCUUUCGCUAGGGACGAAGCUUUGUGUGACGGUACCUAGAUAAGAAGCACCGGCUAACUACGUG
rnacentral:rRNA from 1 species